UGAGGUUGUUUAUGGUGAUGUUUACAUGCUGGAUGAUGAAAUGAAAUGGAAAACAUUAACUCCCAUGCCAAAACCUGAUUCUCAUACUGAGUGUGCCUGGGUUAUUGUCAAUAAUUCUGUUAUCAUCACCGGCGGUACGACAGAAAAGCACCCAAUUACCAAGCGAAUGAUCUUGGUUGGGGAGGUCUUCCGAUUUGAUUUGGAUUCACUGACUUGGUCAGUGAUUGGAAAGCUCCCUUACCGCAUAAAAACAACGCUAGCUGGUUUUUGGGAUGGAUACUUGUACUUCACCUCAGGGCAGCGGGACAGAGGACCCGAUAACCCGCAGCCGAGAGAGGUUGUAGGAGAUAUGUGGAGAACAAAGUUAAAAAUUUAAGCACG
rnacentral:misc_RNA from 1 species